AUGAAAAAAAUAGCCUUCAAGGAGGGAGACAGGGAAUUAUUGAGUAUACAGAAGCAACUGAAUAUCAAGAUCAGAGACAGCAAGGAGGCAUACAGGAAGAAGCUGGAGAACAAACUACAGAGGAACAAUAUCAGAGAUGUCUGGUCAGGGAUGAAGAAGAUCACAGGCUUCAAGCAGAGGAAGGAUUGCACAGAUGGCAGCCUGGACACAGCCAAUGAACUGAACAAGUUCUUCAAUAGGUUCAGUUCAGGAACAAACCCAGCAUCCUCCUCGCCUGUCCCCAGCCAAUCAGACAUCCCAUCCUCCUCUGAUCCAACAUUUUCCUGUCACACGCCAGCUCUUUUGUCCUCUAACGCAGUCAUGGACUCUUCUGGUUCUAUAAAUCUGUCUUCAACCAAGUCAGGAGAUGCUGCUGCCCCAUUUACCUCCCUCUCCCACCUAUCUGUCUCUAGAAGUCAGGUGAAGAGGCAGCUGGAGAGACUGAACAGGAACAAGGCUGCAGGUCCAGAUGGUGUCAGCCCCAGAGUACUGAAGGCCUGUGCAGAGCAGCUCUGUGGGAUUCUGCAGCACCUCUUCAACCUCAGCCUGGCCCAGGAGAAGGUUCCAGUCCUGUGGAAGACAUCCUGCCUUGUUCCAGUUCCAAAGAAAACUCGCCCAUCAGUCAAUGACGACUACAGACCGGUUGCCCUGACAUCCCACAUCAUGAAGGUCCUGGAGAGACUCCUGUUGGUCCACCUGAAUAAGCAAACUAGAACAUAUCAGGACCCGCUGCAGUUUGCUUAUCGCCAUGGAGUUGGAGUUGAAGAUGCCAUCAUCCAGCUGCUUCAACCAAUCCACUGUCAUCUGGACAAAGCAGGCAGCACUGUCAGGGUCAUGUUCUUUGAUUUCUCCAGUGCAUUUAACACAAUUGAGCCUGAUGUACUUUGCCAGAAACUCCAGAAGACACAGGUGGGGGCCUCAACUAUCGCCUGGAUUAAAGACUACCUGACAAACAGACCACAGUUUGUGAGGCUGAAGAACUGCACAUCAAACCAGGCAAUCAGUAACAUUGGAACACCACAGGGGACUGUACUCUCACAAUUCCUUUUCACCUUGUACACCUCAGGCUUCCAGUACAAAUCAGAGACCUGUCAUCUACAGAAAUACUCAGAUUACUCUGCAGUUGUCGGGUGUAUCAGAGAUGGACAGGAAACAAUCAUCUGA
rnacentral:lncRNA from 1 species